CCAAAGGCAUGAUCAACCACUGAGCAACCCAGGUGCCCCAGUCUUACCUCAUCUUUAAAGAACUCGAGAAGAGAAUAAACAUACCGAUUACUUGCAUGGCCGGUUCCACGUCUGUUGUGGCCUCUUCCAACAAUGACAGCAGCUUGGCUGAUAUCUGAUGCACAGAUUCAAUGUUGCUAAACAAGCUAUCCACGUCCAGCCGAUCAAUCUGAAGAAACACAAACACUGAACACAGCUGAUGGAGAGAGACACACUGUAUUUAGGAUGUUUUCUCCUGCUAAACGGUCAGCAUCUUAUAUGCCAGCCCAUGCUGCUUCCAUUGACCAUUGCAGUAAACAUUCUUAUUUGGGAUUUUUAAAGUAAA